rnacentral:rRNA from 1 species
GGGUUGUGAGGUUAAGCGACUAAGCGUACACGGUGGAUGCCCUGGCAGUCAGAGGCGAUGAAGGACGUGCUAAUCUGCGAUAAGCGUCGGUGAGGUGAUAUGAACCGUUAUAACCGGCGAUUUCCGAAUGGGGAAACCCAGUGUGAUUCGUCACACUAUCAUUAACUGAAUCCAUAGGUUAAUGAGGCGAACCGGGGGAACUGAAACAUCUAAGUACCCCGAGGAAAAGAAAUCAACCGAGAUUCCCCCAGUAGCGGCGAGCGAACGGGGAGGAGCCCAGAGCCUGAAUCAGUGUGUGUGUUAGUGGAAGCGUCUGGAAAGGCGCGCGAUACAGGGUGACAGCCCCGUACACAAAAAUGCACAUACUGUGAGCUCGAUGAGUAGGGCGGGACACGUGGUAUCCUGUCUGAAUAUGGGGGGACCAUCCUCCAAGGCUAAAUACUCCUGACUGACCGAUAGUGAACCAGUACCGUGAGGGAAAGGCGAAAAGAA